rnacentral:lncRNA from 1 species
GGAAAGGCUAAUAGCGUUCACGACGAACCACAUGGAGAAGCUCGACCCAGCUCUGAUUCGGCGAGGAAGGAUGGACAAGCACAUCGAAUUAUCAUACUGUAGCUUUGAAUCAUUCAAGGUGCUGGCUAAGAACUAUCUGGAGCUUGAUUCCCACUACCUGUUCGACACGAUUGAGAGGCUGUUGGGGGAAAGUAAAGUGACCCCAGCUGAUGUUGCUGAGCAUUUGAUGCGUAAGAAUACAAGUGUGGCUGAUGCUGAAACAAGCUUGAAGAGCCUGGUUCAGGCAUUGGAGAUGGCCAAGAAAGAAGCAAUGUUGAAGGCCAAGGAAGAAGGCAAAGAGGAGUCAUCUGCUAGGGAAGAAGAUUGAUGAUCACUGACAAUAGAGACUGUGAUUGUGUUUAUCAUUCUGAAUUAAUUCCUGGGAAUUAUGAAAUAUUGGUCAAGUUAAUAGUUUGGUAAUUGAGGUUAAUGGGAAAUGCAUAUGGUGACCAAUUCUGAAGAUCUUUUCUAGGGCUUAAGACAUGGGAAAGGACUAGAGAAAUGAGAGAUGAAGAUAUUGGGAGGAAAGGAUAAGAGAAAUGAAAGGGGGAAGUUUGUGCCUAAUGAAUAUUUUUACAACGGAAGAAUGAAUGCCGAACACUUCUUUUAUGGAAAUUGAACAAGUUAGUAAUAUAAACAUUGUUCGAGCCCUUUGAUAGUGAUUUUAAAAAAUAUUUUUAAUAUUUAAAAAAUUUUAUUAUUCAAGUUUUAAAAAUAUUAAAAACGUUUUCUACUAACCUUAUCAAACAUAUUUUUCAUUUACUAAUAAAAAAAAGUGUUUUUCAAUAGUUGCAAUCAUACUUGGUUUGACUAUGCUUUUAGAUAACAUAUAUAAUAUCAAUAACAUUUAUCAAGAAAUCAAACAUUUGAAAAGAUUAAUAUUUUGAAAGUAAGGUAAAUAUCUAUUUUUUAAUAUAUUUUUAUAAUAUAAUAAGGCCUAUGAUUUAAUAAUUUAAAAUUUUAAAAAUGAAUUUUAACCAUAUUAAAUAAAAAAAUAAUAUUAAAAUAAUUUAUUUAAGUUGUUUAAUUCCAUAUGGAAAAAAAGAUUAAAUUUUUUUGAAUUAUUUAAUUUUUAUAUAAAAGAGAAAAAUAAAUAAAUUAUUUUUAGAAAUCAAAUUAUAAUUGGAAAUUAAAUAUGAAAAACAUUUUUUUGAAUUUUUUUUGUAUAAACAUAUUAUAAAUUUAGCAUAGUAUAAAAAUACUCAAUCUUACUUAAUUUAAAGUUCAUUAAUUUUUUUUAAAAAAAUAUAAUUAUAUGUAAAGGGAAAAACUAAUAAACUUAUUCAAAUUGAAUUUUGGUUUCUAACUUUUUAAUGUUAACUGUAUCAAUUUUGAGUUCAUAACUGUAGUAUUAAUUGAUUCGAUUUUAAAAUUUUAAAUUAUUUUUAAAAAUUAAUGAAUUUUAUAUAUAAAGUCUUACUUGAUUUGUCUUAAGAAAAAGAAAAAAUAGAUAAGUUAAAGGAGAAUUUUAUUAAAAUACAUAUAAUUUAAAGUGAGACCAUAUUUAAAGAUUUUCUGUAUCAUUAUUGGGUAAUGAAGGAAAAUGUAUGAAGAAAGAUACAAUGCUAUACUAUUUUUUGCUUUUUAUGAUUUUUUUUUUCUAAAUUUUUCUUUUCUUUUUAAUAACUAGUGAAAACAAAUUUUAUUUAUCUUUUAAAAAUUAUUUUCUAUUUCCCUUGUUUCUAAAAACAGUUAAAACAAGCACUUUUUGGAUGCAACACCUAGAAGGACAAUCUCCUCCUAGCUUCCUUCCUUCAUGGCUUCCCAUUAGUAGCCUAUGGUUUAACCAAUGACCGUUUGCAUAUGGCAUAAAAAUAAAAGAAAGAAAAAACAUUAAACUUAGAGUUGUUAGUUGCUCAAUAAACCUUUUGUGUAGGUUCCUAAACUUAUAUUUUGUUUUUGAGAAGUAAUAACGUUAUGUUUGAUUUCUGAAAGUAUAAAAAUCAAAAACUAAGAAAAAUGACUUUCUCGUGUUGGAUUUAUAAUAAAAAAUACAAAAAUAAAAUAAAAUAACUAAAAUAAGUUAAAAAUGUAUUUAUUUUGAAAAUAUUUAAUCUUUAUAAAAAAAGAAAAAAAUUAAAAUGAGUUUAAAGAAAUAUAUAAAAAUGAAUAUUAACAUUAAUUUUUAUUUUUAUUUUUUUCUCUUAUAUUUUUUUCUCAAAAUUUCUAAAAUCCAAGUAGAGUAUAAAGGAAAUAAAAAUUAUUUUCUCACUAUGUAUCAUACAAAAUACGAGAGAAAAUAAAAUAUAAUUAAAAAUAAUUAAAACUUAUAUGUCUUGAAAUUAUUUAAUUUUUUUUUAUAUAAACCAUGAAAAAUAAGUGAAAUAAGUUUUAAAAAUAUAUAAAAUAAUUUAUUAAAUUUAAAUUUAUUUUUUAUUUUCUUUAAUAUUUUCUUUAAUGCAAAAUACCUGCAGAUAGAAUUUCCUCAAGGAUGGCAUAGAGUGGAAUGCUCCAUGAAGUGUGGCCCACGCAGGCCCAACGUCACAAUCAAGGACCAUGCCGUCCCGAGCCCAAGCCCAAGUCCAAGCUAAACCGAAAGCUAAGGGAGGGCCCAAUCCGAGGAACAUAGCCCAUCAUGGAAUCUAAAACCAACCCAUGAAUUAAUGGCUCGUGCUCAAUUGCUAAUUCAUGAUUAACCAUUGUUUUAGUUGCCAACAAAGGUUAAGCCCUGAGUCAAUUUGUGCUAAUCCCAUCCGCACAACAAUUUUGACCAAAAUACCAUUUUUUUAAUAUUUAUUUAAGCAUGAUAUAUUUUCAAAACUAAUAAUUAACUUACAUAACUUUUUGAGAAAUUAAUUGAAAAUCGACAUCAAUUCAAAUAUUGAAGCUGGUCGGCUUUUCAACUUUUUCCACUUUUUUUGACUCUAAUCGAUAAUAAUUGAAUUAGACAAAAUUCUAAGAUUUUAAUAUAUAUAUAUAUAUAUAUAUAUAUAUUUUUAAUAACUAUGGAUGUCCGGAGCAGCUUAUGUUGGUCUGGACUAAUCCCAUGAGGUCCUGAAGUUAAGGGCCUGAAGUUAAGGGUGAGAAAUUAACUGAAAAUCGACAUCAAUUCAAAUAUUGAAGUUGGUCGGCCUUUUAACUUUUUCCGCUUUUUUUUUUUACUCUAACCGAUAAUAAUUGAAUUAGACAAAUAUUCUAAGAUUUUAAUAUGUUUUUUUAUUAUUUAUUUAAUAAUUGUGGAUGUCCGGAGCAGCUUAUGCUGGCAUGGACUAAUCCCAUGGGGCUCUGAAGUUAAGGGUCGGGUAAACCUCCAAUGGCCCUAAGGGGACUUGAACUGGUGACCAUUGGAGAGCAAAUCCAAGGUCGGACCAACAAAGUUACUCCCUAAGAUUAUAAAAUUUUCAUAUCUUAUUUGAUGUUUGACGAAUUUUUUUAUUAUUUAUUAGUAUAUAUAUUUGUAAAUACUAUUAAAAUAAUUCAUUGUUGCUAGACUAUAUUCAAAUUAAUUUGUAAGUACAUUUAUUAUAUUUCAAACUAAAAACUUUAAGGUUACGUUUGGUUCCGAAAAGUAUAAGAGAAAGAAAAAAAAAUGUUGGGUUAUAUUUGGUUUUUGAAAAAUGCUGUAGAAAGAAAAAAGUAUUAAAGUAAAUUAUUUUUUCAUAUUAGGUUUUAUUAUAGAAAAUAUAAAAGAAAAUUAAAUAUAAUUAAAAUUAAUUUGAAAUUUACAUGUUUUUAAAUUAUUUAAUUUUACUAUAAUGGAGAGAAAAAAGUAAAAUGAGUUUAAAGAAAUGUAUAAAAAUAAUUUAUUAAAUUAUUUUUUUUUCUUCACUUUUUUUUUUUUUACUUUUCCUCUCUAUUUUAUUUUCUUCACAUUUUCUUGAGAAUUUUAUGGGAACGGAACAUAACUUUAAUGAAAUCAAAUAUUUAGCCCCGCAUUAAUAUUCGAGAUACAUUUUCAAAAUUCAUAUUUUUGUUCAUAAACAUUAUGCAUUAUAUUAUUGUCGAGCAUCAUAAGUUAUACAUAUUAAUUUUUUAAUAUAACGACUUCAAUAUAUCUAUUAUAAUUAUUUGUUUUAUCAUUUUUAGAAGUUUUUUUUUAAUUAAAGAAACAUAAAUAAAAAUAACAAAUGAGAAGAACACGAGAACUAUUUGAUAAAAUUUUAUAUUUGGUCACCUGUAUUUAAUCCAAUCAAAUUAACCUUUUACAUAAAAGGUCUGACUACAAUAUUGAAGGUACUUUAAAAAAACAUUAUCAAUCAAAUAAUACCGUAUAUAUAAAUUAUGGUCUCACUAUUUAUACUUUGGUUUUAUUUGUUUGUAUUUUUAUAUUUUUAUGAUAUUCAUAUGUAUACUCUUGUUUAAUGAUUUAAAUUUCAUUAUUUAUAUUUUGACGAUUAUUUAUAUUAAAGAGCAUGAUAUGAAUAUCGAAUUUAAACGAGAUAAGUUAAGGUUUUUAGAAAAAUUGAGAGAUGAACGUGGCAUUAGGAUUUGGUAGACGUGAACCUCAUGGGUUUGAACCACCAUCUCUAGAUGGAUUGCAACAUGAUGUAGUGCCAUGACACAUUGAAAUGACGCAAUGACUGCCGUCCAUUCACUUGCUAACUAGUCAGCUACAACACUCCCCAUUUAUUAAAUUAGAUAUAGAGAAGAUACAAAUUUCUCAAAGGUCGGUCAUAUUUAAUAAUAAUAAUAAUAAAUGUCACAGCAUUUCCAUCCACCUUUUUUCACACCUAUUGGUAAGGGUAGGAGCGUGGCUGACUCGACCUCAUCUUCCUAGUGGGCACCAGCGGACAAAGCUCCACUCGAUUACGAAGAACCAACUAUAGUGUGAGACAGGCCUAUUCGUUUGGUCAUGGAGUGGAUGUUUCGACUUGGAAGGAAAAAAAGGGAGGAAGGGAGGAGGACCCACAGUCCAGUGUCGUCGAAAUAUGGUCUAUAUGAGUUGCAUGUAUGGCACCCUAGCUGUAUUUUUUCACGAGGCAGAGAAUAUUUCCAGCGACUUUGAAGUCGUUUUCCACUCGUAUAUGGCAGCAGGGAGUGGUGGGUGCAAAUGACUCAUCUUUGAUGGGAUGUGCCGGGAAAGUCGUGUGAAUCCAAGAUUUAUAAAUAUAUAAAGUUACCAAGCUUUGGUCAUGUUUGCUAACUUUGCUGCCAAGUUGAUAGAAAAUAGAUGGCUUUAAGUACGUUUUCUAGUUGUUUUUAUUUCUUUUUGGAUAAUUAAUUUAAAAUAUAUAUAUAUAUAUAUAUAUAAUUUACAAAAACAUUUCAAGUUACUAAAUAAACUUUUAUUCUGUAAAACAUUCUUUCAAAAAAUUAUGAUGGUGUUUGGUAAUGGUUUUUUAAAAUAAUUUUGAAAAAUGGUUUUUUUAGAAAAUUGUUAUUUGAUUUUUUGUAAAACAAAAAUUUGUUUCGAAAUCUAAAAUGUUUUUAAUCUAUUUUUAAUAUUUUAAAAAUAUUUUUUCUUUAUAUCUAAAACUUUAUUUUUAAUCAUUAUAAAUGUUUGUAUGAGUAUUUUUUUAAAACAGUUCUUAAAAAAUAAAUGAAAACAAUUAAAAAAAAACUAAAAGAUGUUUUAUAAAAAUAAAAAAUUAUUCUAAAAAAUAGUUAUUAAAUAAAACCUUUACUUUGAUAUAAAAACAAAAUAACGAAGGAGAAAGAAGAGGCACUAAAAAGGUUUAUUUGAUGAAAAAGUUCAUUGAAAAUAAUGAUUUUCCUUCUUUGAAAAAAUUGAAAUUAUAACUUCUUUCAAUAAAAAUAUCUUUUAACAAUUUUUGAAUUUUUAUCCCUCAUUAAACAGUUUUUUGGAUAAAAAGUUGAAGGGGUAAAAAUGCCAAAAUGAGGUUAUAUAUAUGUAAUUUGCAAUACAUAAAAGUUAUAUUUUUUUCAACAUUUUCGCAUCCUUUAUAAUCCAAUAUUUCGAUGAAAAACUAUUUUUCGAACUUGAAAAUAAGUUUGAUAAUUCUUUGAUAGAAAAUUUAUUUUGAAAAUGUGGCAUUUUUUGAGAAUAUUUUUUUUUUUUUUCAAUUAUUUUGGGUAUUAUAAAUAAAAGUUAUUUUAAAAAAAUAUUUAAAAGUUAAGUUAUAAACAGACUUAACUGUUUUUGAAAUUUUUUUACAAAGAAGAUGAUUUCUUUUUAUCCGACAUUAUAAAAGUGAAGAAAAUAAUAUGAGAAAAAAGAGAGGAAAAUAUUAAGGGAAAAAUGAAGAGGAAAAAUAUGAGGGACAAAAAUAAAAAGAAAAUUUUUGUUUAGUUGAAUAAAGGAAAAACAAUAUUAAAUCAUUUAAAGAAAAUAUUCCUUGGUAUUACUUUCAUAGCUUUUUCUUUGAUAUAAAAAAAAAGAAAAAAAAAUCAUUUUCCUUAACUCUUUUUUCAUACAUCCAAAUAUUAGAAAAUGAUUGCUUUUAGAUUAUUUUUUUUCAUUUCUUAUUACUUUUCAAAAAUCAAACAUAAUUUUAGAUAAAUGUAAAAAAAAAAAAAGAAGCAAAAUUUAUAAAAUAAAAUUUAUCCACUAAAAUUCAUAUUAAAAAUAAAAUUUCAAAUAUUAAGGGUUUGUUUGACAACUGUUUUCAAGAAUAGUUUUAUAUUUUUUAGAACAAAAAAAUUGUAAAACAUAUUUGGCAACCAAAAAACCAUUUUAUGUUUUAUGUUCCCAAAAUUAGAAAAUAUGAGAUUUUCAAAAAAUAUCUUUUAGUUAUUUUCAAUUAUUUUUUGUUGUUUUUGGAAAACUGUUUUAAAAAAUAAUUAUAAAAACAUGUAUAAUAAUUAAAAAUAAAUCUCUAGAUAUAAAAAUUAUUUUUAAAACAUAUUUAAAAAUAUUAAAAAUAGGUUAAAAAUUUUUCAGGUUUUCAAAUAGACUUUUAUUCUAGAAAACAUCAAAGAAUAAUUUAAAAAAAAUUUUAAAUCUAUUUUUAAAAACAGUUAUCAAACAUGACCUAAUCUUCUAACAUUAUGAGCACAUAAAGAGAUAGAGAAAACACUUUCCAUAUUUCAAAAGUCUUAUGAAUCUAAGAAAAUGUUAAAAAUAGGAGAAAAAAAAGUAAAAAAAAAAUGUAAAUUCUUUUAUUUAUUUAUUUUAUGACAAAAAAUAAGAAUUAAAAUUAAAUAUAAUAAAAUUUAUUUAAAAUUUUAUAGAUAUUCAAAUACUAAUUUAUAUAUAUAUAAGAGAAGGGUAAAAAUAGAAAAAUAAGGCAUGUUUGGUAACUGUUUUCGGAAAUAGUUUUGAAAAAUAAUUUUUUGAAAACUGUUCUUUGAUAUUUUGUAAAAUAAAAGUAUGUUUGCAAACGUAAUUUUUUUUAAUAUUUUAAAAUAUGUUUUAAAAGUAAUUUUUAUAUCUAAUAUAUUUUAUUUUUAAUUAUUCUACAUGUUUGUAUAAUUAUUUUUUAACAUAGUUCUCAGAAAAUAUGUGAAAACAAUAAAAAAUAAUCAAAAGAUAUUAUCUAAAAACACUAUUAAAAACAUAAAAUAGAAAAUAGUUUUUGGUUAUAAAACAUAUUUUCAUAGUUUUUUUGUUUUGAAGAAUAGAAAACUAUUUUAAAAAAUAGUUAUCAAACAAACCCAAGAAAUUAACGAUACUUCUUUAUCUUUUGAGUUGUUCUGCCAAAUUGGUCUCUUAAGACCUUUGGUUUCUGCCUAGACCGAUGAAAAAAAUGGGAUCACUUCUUAUGGACUUGUUGAAAAUGAUUCUGAUAUAGUUUACAACUUAUUAGAAAAAAAAAAAAUCGAUCUAGUGAGAUUCUCAUGAAUAGAAAAAAAUGGUAGUCAAUUUGAUAACGAUGAUAUUACUUUUUCAGAACUAAGGAAUACCUUAUAUAUAAUGUUUAGAAAAUCAAAUUUACAUAAUAAAAACUUUAUGAAUAUUCUGAAAUAAUUUUAAAAAAUAGUUUUUAAAAAUAUUUUUCAAUUAUUUUCAAGAUUAAAUUUGGAAACUCAAAUAAAAUAUUUAAAAAACAUUUUUUUCUUGCAUGAUACAAUUUUAAAAGCAUUAUCUUUAUUUUAGUUGUAAUUAACAAUUUAUAAAAUAAUACAACUAAAAUACCUGAACUUUAAAAAAUAAUUCGCUUGGAGAGUAAUUAAUUUUUUUUUAAAUAUAAAAAAGUGUUUUAAUUAGAAAAUUAUUUUCUAUUUCAGAUGAGGGGUUUUAUGUACUUUCCUUCCUCUUUCUUUCCCAUUUCCAUACCUUUUUCUCAAUCCUGUGGACAUCCAAGCAGAGCGUCUAUAUAAGGAGAUAUAACACAUCCCCUGAGUAUGGGGACACGUGAGAAGACAAAGACAAGGGAAGAAAAUGGGGGAGACGCUGGGGAAUUUGGGGUCUGUAAUGGCGACAUUGAUGUUCAUCUGGGCUAUGUUCCGGCAAUACUUCCCUUGCGACCUCAUCGAAAAAUACUCCCACAGAUUGAUGAAGUUUUUCUACCCUCACAUCCAAAUCACUUUCGAUGAAUACGGCAGAGGUCAUUUCAUGCGCCAUGAAUUCUACACCGCCAUCGAGACCUACCUCAGCUCCAAUACCGCCGACCAAGCCAACCGCCUCAAAGCCAACACCGCCAAAAACAACCAGUCACUGGUUCUCACCAUUGAUGACGGUGAAGAGGUUGAAGAUGAGUUUGAGGGAGUGAAGCUGUGGUGGACUCCAAGGACGAUCACAGCCGAAACUCGGACCUCCCGCUCCUAUGAGCAGCCGGAUGAGAAGAGGUACUACCGGCUGACUUUCCACAAGAAACACCGGGAUUUGAUCACCAAGAAGUACCUCAGUCAUGUGUUGAGGGUAGGGAAGGCGAUUAAGGUCAGAACCCGGCAGCGGAAGCUUUAUACCAACAGUUGGUCGAUGUGGAGCCAUGUGGUUUUUGAUCACCCUGCAACUUUUCAAACGCUUGCCAUGGAGGCUGAUAAGAAGAGGGAGCUGAUCGAGGACUUGGUUUCUUUCAGCAAGGCUGAAGAUUUCUAUGCAAGAAUUGGGAAAGCUUGGAAGCGGGGUUACCUCCUUUAUGGCCCUCCUGGGACGGGAAAAUCUACCAUGAUUGCUGCCAUGGCGAAUCUGUUGCUGUACGACGUCUAUGAUCUUGAACUGACGGCGGUCAGUGACAACACCAUGCUGAGGAAGCUGCUGAUGCAGAUUCCGAGCAAGUCCAUCACUGUGAUUGAGGACAUCGACUGCUCCCUCAACUUGACGGGUCAGAGGAAGAAGAUGAAGGAGAACAAGGCGGCCGAGGAGGAAGAGAAGGACCCCAUUAAAAAACAAGCGAAGGUAAGAGACUCUGAUGAAGGGAAAACCAGCAAGGUGACUCUCUCCGGGCUGUUGAACUUCAUUGACGGCCUUUGGUCGGCCUCCAAGGGGGAAAGGCUAAUAGUGUUCACGACGAACUACAUGGAGAAGCUCGACCCAGCUCUGAUUCGGCGAGGAAGGAUGGACAAGCACAUCGAAUUGUCAUACUGCAGCUUUGAAUCAUUCAAGGUGCUGGCGAAGAACUAUCUGGAGCUUGAUUCCCACCACCUGUUCGACACGAUUGAGAGGCUGUUGGGGGAAAGUAAAGUGACCCCAGCUGAUGUUGCUGAGCAUUUGAUGCCUAAGACAAGUGUGGCUGAUGUUGAAACAAGCUUGAAGAGCCUGGUUCAGGCAUUGGAGAUGGCCAAGGAAGAAGCAAUGUUGAAGGCCAAGGAAGAAGGCAAAGACAAGGAAGAAGGCAAAGAGGAGUCAUCUGCUAGGGAAGAAGAUUGAUGAUCAUUGGCAAUAGAGACUAUGAUUGUGUUUAUCCUUCUGAAUUAAUUCCUGGGAAUUAUGAAAUAUUGGUCAAGUUAAUAGUUUGGUAAUUGAGGUUAAUGGGAAAUGCAUAUGGUGACCAAUUCUGAAGAUCUUUUCUAGGGCUUAAGACAUGGGGGGAAAGGACAAGAGAAAUGAAAGGGGGAAAGUUUGUGCCUAAUGAAUAUUUUUACAGCAGGAGGAUGAAUGCCGAUCACUUCUAUUAUGGAAAUUGAAGACAUAAGUAAUAUAAACGUUAUUUGAGUUUGUUUGACGGUGAUUUUAGAAAGCAUUUUUAACAUUUUUAACAUUUGAAAAUUUUUAUCAUUCAAGUAUUAAAAAUGUUAUCAACGUUUUCUAUCAUUCUUAUUAAACAUACUUUUCAUUUAAUAAAAGAAAGUGUUUUUCAAUAGUUGCAGUCAUACUUGGUUUGACUAUGUUUGUAGAGAACAUUUAUAAUAUAAAUAACAUUUAUCAAGAAAUCAAACAUUUGAAAAGAUUAAUAUUUUGAAAGUAAGGUAAAUAUCUAUUUUUUUAAUAUAUUUUUAGAAUAUAAUAAGGCCUAUGAUUUAAUAAUUUAAAAUUUUAAAAAUGAAUUUUAACCAUAUUAAAUAAAAAAUCAUAUUAAAAUAAUUUAUUUAAGUUGUUUAAUUCCAUAUGGAAAAAAAGAUUAUUAUUUUUUAAUUAUUUAAUUUUUUAUAAAAGAGAAAAAAUAAUUUUUUUUAGGAAUCAAAUUAUAAUUGGAAAUUAAAUAUGAAAAACAUUUUUUUUGAAUUUUUUUUUUGUAUAAACGUAUUAUAAAUUUAGCAUAGUAUAAAAACACUCAAUCUUACUUAAUUUAAAGUUCAUUAAAAAAAAUUAAAAAAUAUAAUUAUAUGUAAAGGGAAAAACUAACAAACUUAUUCAAAUUGAAUUUUGGUUUAUGACUUUUUAAUGUUAAUCGUAUCAAUUUUGAGUUCAUAAUUGUAGUAUUAAUUGAUUCGAUUUUAGAAUUUUAAAUUAUUUUUAAAAAUGACUGAAUUUUAUAUAUAAAGUCUUAUUUGAUUUGAAAUAUAUUUGCCUUAAGAAAAAGAAAAAAUAGAUAAGUUGAAGGAGAAUUUUAUUAAAAUACAUAUAAUUUAAUACGAGACCAUAUUUAAAGAUUUCCGUAUCAUUAUUGGGUAAUGAGAGAAAAUGUAAGAAGAAAGAUACAAUGCUAUACUAUUUUUUUCUUUUUAUGAUUUUUUUUCUAAAUUUUUCUUUUCUUUUUAAAAACUAGUGAAAACAAAUUUUAUUUAUCUUUUAAAAAUUAUUUUCUAUUUCCCUUGCUUCUAAAAACAGUUAAAACAAGCACUUUUUGGAUGCAACACCUAGAAGGACAAUCUCCUCCUAGCUUCCUUCAUUCAUGGCUUCCCAUUAGUAGCUAUCUUUUCGCUAACUUCCACCGCGGUUUAACCAAUGACCGUCAACAUAUGGCAUAAAAAUAAAAAUAAGAAAAAACAUUAAAUUUAGAGUUAUUAGUUGCUCAAGAAACCUUUUGUGUUGGUUCCUAAAGUUAUAUUUUGUUUUUGACGUUAUGUUUGAUUUCUGAAAGUAUAAAAAUAAAAAACUAAGAAAAAUGUAUUUUUUGGAUUUAUAAUAAAAAUACAAAAAUAAAAUAAAAUAACUAAAAUGAGUAAAAAAUGUAUCUAUUUUGAAAAUAUUUAAUCUUUAUAAAAAAAAGAAAAAAAAUUGAAAUGAGUUUGAAGAAACAUAUAAAAAUAAAAAUUAAUAUUAAUUUUUAUUUUUAUUUUUUUCCCUUACAUUUUUUUCUCAAAAUUUCUAAAAUCCAAGUAGAGUAUAAAGGAAAUAAAAAUUAUUAAAAAAAAAUUAUUUUCUCACGAUGUAUCAUACAAAAUACGAGAGAAAAUAAAAUAUAAUUAAAAAUAAUUAAAACUUAUAUGUUUUCAAAUUAUUUAAUUUUUUUUAUAUAAACCAUGAAAAAUAAGUGAAAUAAGUUUUAAAAAUAUAUAAAAAUAAUUUAUUAAAUUUAAAUUUAUUUUUUAUUUUCUUUAAUUUUUUCUUUAAUGCAAAAUACCUGCAGAUAGAAUUUCCUCAAGGAUGGCAUAGAGUAGAAUGCUCCAUGAAGUGUGGCCCAGGCAGGCCCAACGACACAAUCAAGGACCAUGCCGUCCCGAGCCCAAGCCCAAGUCCAAGCUAAACUGAAAGCUAAGGGAGGGCCCAAUCCGAGAACGUAGCCCAUCAUGGAACCCAUAAGAGAAAACCAACCUAUGAAUUAAUGGCUCAUGCUCAAUUGCUAAUUCAUGAUUAACCAUUGUUUUAGUUGCCAACCAAGGUUAAGCCCUGAGUCAAUUUGUGCUUAUCACAUCCGCACAACAAUUUUGACCAAAAUACCAUUUUUUUUAAAUAUUUAUUUAAGCAUGAUAUAUUUUCAAAACUAAUAAUAAAUUUACAUAACUUUUUGAGAAAUUAACUGAAAAUCUUUUUUUUUUUCAAAGUACGACAUCAAUUCAAAUAAUGAAGUUGGUCGACUUCCCAUUAUAUUUUUUCCAACUAGUAUAGAUGGGGGAAGACUUUGAAAUUACCUUUUCCGCUUUUUUUUUACUCUAAUCGAUAGUAAUUGAAUUAGACAAAUAUUCUAAGAUUUUUAUUUUUUUUUAAUAACCGUGGAUGUCCGAGUUAGCUUAUGCUGGCCUCGACUAAUCUCAUGGGGCCUUGAAGUUAAGGGUCGGGACUCGAACUGGUGACCAUUGGGGAGCCAACCCAAGGUCAGACCAACUAAGUUAUCCCUCAAGAUUCUAAGAUUUUCAUAUCUUAUUUGAUGUUUGACGAUUUUUUAUUAUUAUUUAUUAGUAUAUAUAUUUUGUAAAUUCUAUUAACAUAAUUCAUUGUUGCUAGACUAUAUUCAAAUUAAUUUGUAAGCACAUUUAUUAUAUUUCAAACUAAAAAAUUUAAGGUUAUGCUUAGUUCCAGAAAGUACAAAAGAAAGAAAAAAAAUGUUGGACUAUAUUUGGUUUCUAAAAAAUGCUGAUGAAAGAAAAAAAUGUUAAAGUAAAUUAUUUUUUCAUAUUAGGUUAUAUUAUAGAAAAUGUAAAAGAAAAUUAAAUAUAAUUAAAAUUAAUUUGAAAUUUAUAUGUUUUUAAAUUAUUUAAUUAUGCUACAAUGGAGAGAAAAAAGUAAAAUGAGUUUAAAAAAUUGUAUAAAAAUAAUUUAUUAAAUUUAAACUUUUUUUUCUUCACUUGUUUUUUUUUUCUACUUUUCCUCUCUAUUUCCUUUUUUUCGCAUUUUCCUUCAAAUUUCCUGAGAACGAAACAUAACUUUAAUGAAAUCAAAUAUUUAGCCCACAUUAAUAUUCGAUAUACUUUUUCAAAAUUCAUAUUUUUGUUCAUAAACAUUAUAUAUUAUAUUAUUGUUGAACAUCAUAAGUUAUAUAUAUAUAUAUAUAUAUAUUUAAUAUAAGGACUUCAAUAUAUCUAUUAUAAUUAUUUGUUUUAUCAUUUUUAGAAGUUUUUUUUAAUUAAAGAGACAUAAAUAAAAAUAACAAAUGAGAAGAACACAAGAACUACAGUUUUGAAGGUACUUUAAAAAAAACCACUAAUCAGCUAAUACCAUAUAUAUAAUUUAUGGUCUCAUUACUUCAUACUUUGGUUUUAUUCUAUGAUUAUUUAUAUUAAAGAGCAUGUAUAUUGAAGUUAAAUUGAGAGAUGACGUGAACUUAAUGGGUUUGAGCCACCAUCUAUAGAUGGAUUGCAACAUGAUGUAGUGUCAUGACACAAUGAUAUGACGCAAUGGCUGCCGACAAGGCGUCAGCUACAACACUUCCCCAUUUAUUAAAUUAGAUAUAGAGAAGAUCGAUAAUGUUUAAAAAUAAUAAUAAUAGUAAAUGUCACAGCAUUUCUAUCCAUCUUUUUUCACACCUAUUGGUAAGGGUAGCAGCGUGGCUGACUCGACCUCAUCUGCCUGGUGGGCACCAGCGGACAAAGCUCCACUCGAUUACGAAGAACCAGCUGUAGUGUGAGCCUGUGCCUUUUCGUUUGGUCAUGGAGUGGAUCUUUCGACUUGGAAGGGAAAAAGGGAGGAAGGGAGGAGGACCCACAGUCCAGUGUCGUCGAAAUAUGGUCUAUAUGAGUUGCAUGUGUGGCACCCUUGCUCUAUAUUUUCACGUGGCAGAGAAUAUUUCCAGCGACUUCGAAGUUUGAAGUCGUUUUCCAAUCGUAUAUGGCAGCUGGGAAUGGUGGGUGCAUCUGACUCAUCUUUGAUGGGAUCUGCCGGGAAAGUAGUGUGGAUCCAAGAUUUAUUUAUAUAUAUAUAUAUAUUGAGUUACAAGCUUUGGUCCUGUUGGCUAACUUUCCUGCUAAGUUUAUAGAAAAUAGAUGGCUUUAAAUACGUUUUCUAGUUGUUUUUAUUUCUUUUUGGAUAAUUAAUUUAAAAAAUAUAUAUAAAAUUUACGAAAACAUUUCAAGUUCCUAAACAAACUUUUUUUCUAUAAAACAUUCUUUCAAAAAACCAUGAUGCCGUUUGGUAACGGUUUUUUAAAACAGUUUUGAAAAAUGGUUUUUUAGAAAAUUGUUAUUUGAAUUUUUGUAAAACAAAAAUUUGUUUUGGAAUCUAAAAUAUUUUUAAUCUAUUUUUAAUAUUUUUGAAAAAUAUUUUUUUAUGUCUAAAACUUUAUUUUUAAUCAUUAUACAUGUUUGUAUAAUUAUUUUUUUAAACGGUUCUUAAAAAAUAAAUGAAAACAAUUAAAAAAACUAAAAGAUGUUUUAUAAAAAUAUCAUAUUUUUCAUAUUUUUUGUUUUUGAGAAUAGAAAAUAGAAAAUAGAAAAUAGAAAACAGAUUUUUGGUUAUCAAAGGUAUUUUUCAAUUUUUUUUAUUUUAAAAAAUAAAAAAUUAUCCUAAAAAACAGGUAUCAUAUAGAACCUAUACUUUGUUUAAAAACAAAAUAACGAAGAAGAAAGAAGAGCAACUAUAAAGGUUUAUUUGAUUAAAAAAUUCAUUGAAAAUAAUGAUCUUCCUUCUUUGAAAAAACUGAAAUUAUAACUUCUUUUCAAUAAAAAUAUCUUUUAACAAUUUUUGAAUUUUUAUCCCUCAUUAAACAGUUUUUUUUUUUAUUUAUAGAAAGGGGUAAAAAUGUCAAAACAAGGUUAUAUAUGUAAUUUGCAGUACAUAAAAUUUAUUUAUUUUUCAACAUUUUCGCAUCCCUUAUAAUCAAAUAUUUCGAUGAAAAACUAUUUUUUGAACUUGAAAAUAAGUUUGAUAAUUCUUUGAUAGAAAAUUUAUUUUGAAAAUGCGACAUUUUUUUAGAAUAUAUUUUAAGUUAUAAACAAACUUAAUUGUUUUUGAAAAAAUUUAAAAAGAAGAUGAUUUUUUUUAUCCGACAUUAUAAUUAAAGUGAAGAAAAUAAUAUGAGAAAAAAGAGAGGAAAAUAUUAAGGGAAAAAUGAAGAGGAAAAAUAUGAGGGACAAAAAUAAAAAGAAAUUUUUUGUUUAGUUGAAUCAAGGAAAAACAAUAUUAAAUCAUUUAAAGAAAAUAUUCCUUGGUAUUACUUUCAUAGUUUUUUCUUUGGUAUAAAAAAAAAGAAAAAAAAACCAUUUUCCUUAACUCUUUUUUCAUACAUCCAAAUAUUAGAAAAUGAUUGCUUUUAGUUUUUUUUUUUUUUUUCAUUUCUUAUUAUUUUUCAAAAAUCAAACAUAAUUUUAGAUAAAUGUAAAAAAAAAAAAAGCAAAAUGUAUUAUAAGUUAUUUUAAAAAUCAAAUUUAUCCAUUAAAAUUCAUAUUAAAAAUAAAAUUUCAAAUAUUAAGGGUUUGUUUAAUUUGAUAAUUGUUUUCGAGAAUAGUUUUAUAUUUUUUAGAACAAAAAAAUUGGAAAACAUAUUUGGCAACCAAAAAACCAUUUUAUGUUUUAUGUUCCCAAAAUUAGAAAAUAUGAUAUUUUCAAAAAAUAUCUUUUAGUUAUUUUCAAUUAUUUGUAGUUGUUUUUGGAAAAUUGUUUAAAAAAAAUAAUUAUACAAACAUGUAUAAUAAUUAAAAAUAAAUCUCUAGAUAUAAAAAUUAUUUUUAAAACAUAUUUAAAAUAUUAAAAAUAAGUUAAAAACUUUUCAGGUUUUUAAACAGACUUUUAUUCUAGAAAACAUCAAAGAAUAGUUUUAAAAAAAAUUUCAAAACUGUUUUUAAAAACGGUUACAAAAUAAGGGCAUAAGCUUCUAACAUUAUGAGUACAUAAAGAGAUAGAGAAAACACUUUCCAUAUUUUAAAAGUCUUAUGAAUCUAAGAAAAUGCUAAAAAUAGGAGAAAAAAAAGUAAAGAAAAAAUGUAAAUUCUUUUAUUUAUUUAUUUUAUGGCAAAAAGUAAGAAUUAAAAUUAAAUAUAAUAAAAAUUAUUUAAAAUUUUAUAGAUAUUCAAAUACUAAUUUAUAUAUAUAUAUAUAAGAUAAGGGUAAAAAUAGAAAAAUAAGGCAUGUUUGGUAACUGUUCUGGGAAAUAGUUUUGAAAAAUAAUAUUUUGAAAACUGUUCUUUGAUAUUUUGUAGAAUAAAAGUAUGUUUGAAAACAUAAAAUUUUUUAAUAUUUUAAAAUAUGUUUUAAAAGUAAUUUUUAUAUCUAAUAUUUUUAUUUUUAAUCAUUCUAUAUGUUUGUAUAAUUAUUUUUUAAAAUAGUUCUCAGAAAACAAAUGAAAACAAUAAAAAACAAUCAAAAGAUGUUAUCUAAAAACACUCUUAAAAACAUAAAAUAGAAAAUAAUUUUUGGUUAUAAAACAUAUUUUCAUAGUUUUUUGUUUUGAAGAAUAGAAAACUAUUAUAAAAAAUAGUUAUCAAACAGAUCCAAGAAAUUAACGAUACUUCUUUAUCUUUUGAGUCGUUUUGCCAAAUUAGUCCCUUAAGACCUUUGGUUUUUGCCUAGACCGAUGAAAAAAAUGGGAUCACUUUUUAUGGACUUGUUGAAAAUGAUUCUAAUAUAGUUUAGAACCUAUUAGAAAUAAGAAGACGAUCUAGUGGGAUCCUCAUGAAUAGAAAAAGAUGAUAGUCAAUUUGAUAAUAAUGAUAUUACUUUUUUAGAACUAAGGAAUACCUCAUAUAAUGUUCAAAAAUUCAAAUUUACAUAAUAAAAACUUUAUGCAUAUUCCGAAAUAAUUUUAAAAAAUAGUUUUCAAUUAUUUUCAAGAAUAAAUUUGGAAACUCAAAUAAAAUAAUUUAAAAAACAUUUUUUUCUUGCAUGAUACAAUUUUAAAAGCAUUAUCUUUAUUUUAGUUGUAGUUAACAAUUUAUAAAAUAAUACAACUAAAAUACCUGAACUUUAAAAAAUAAUUCGCUUGGAGAGUAAUUAAUUUUUAAAAAAAAUAUAUAAAAAAGUGUUUUAAUUAGAAAAUUAUUUUCUAUUUCAGAUGGGGGUUUUAUGUACUUUCCUUCCUCUUUCUCUCCCAUUUCCCUACCUUUUUCUCAAACUUGUGGACAUCCAAGCAGAGCGUCUAUAUAAGGAGAUAUGACACAUCCCCUGAGAAUAUGGGGACACGUGAGAAGACAAAGACAAGGGAAGAAAAUGGGGGAGACGCUGGGGAAUUUGGGGUCUGUAAUGGCGACAUUGAUGUUCAUCUGGGCUAUGUUCCGGCAAUACUUCCCUUGCGACCACAUCGAAAAAUACUCCCACAAAUUGAUGAAGUUUUUCUACCCUCACAUCCAAAUCACUUUCGAUGAAUACGGCAGAGGUCAUUUCAUGCGCCAUGAAUUCUACACCGCCAUCGAUACCUACCUCAGCUCCAAUACCGCCGACCAAGCCAACCGCCUCAAAGCCAACACCGCCAAAAACAACCAGUCACUGGUUCUCACCAUUGAUGACGGUGAAGAGGUUGAAGAUGAGUUUGAGGGAGUGAAGCUGUGGUGGACUUCAAGGACGAUCACAGCCGAAACUCGGACCUCCCACUCCUAUGAGCAGCCGGAUGAGAAGAGGUACUACCGGCUGACUUUCCACAAGAAACACCGGGAUUUGAUCACCAAGAAGUACCUCAGUCAAGUUUUGACACAAGGGGAGGCGAUUAAGGUCAGAACCCGGCAGCGGAAGCUUUAUACCAACAGUUGGUCGAUGUGGAGCCAUGUGGUUUUUGAUCACCCUGCAACUUUUCAAACGCUUGCCAUGGAGGCUGAUAAGAAGAGGGAGGUGAUCGAGGACUUGGUUUCUUUCAGCCAGGCUAAGGAUUUCUACGCAAGAAUUGGGAAAGCUUGGAAGCGGGGUUACCUCCUUUAUGGCCCUCCUGGGACGGGAAAAUCUACCAUGAUUGCUGCCAUGGCGAAUCUGUUGCUGUACGACGUCUAUGAUCUUGAACUGACGGCGGUCAGUGACAACACCGUGCUGAGGAAGCUGCUGAUGCAGAUUCCGAGCAAGUCCAUCACUGUGAUUGAGGACAUCGACUGCUCCCUCAACUUGACGGGUCAGAGGAAGAAGAUGAAGGAGAACAAGGCGGCCGAGGAGGAAGAGAAGGGCCCCAUUAAAAAACAAGCGAAGGUAGGAGACUCUGAUGAAGGGAAAACCAGCAAGGUGACUCUCUCCGGGCUGUUGAACUUCAUUGACGGCCUUUGGUCGGCCUCCAAGGGGGAAAGGCUAAUAGUGUUCACGACGAACUACAUGGAGAAGCUCGACCCAGCUCUGAUUCGGCGAGGAAGGAUGGACAAGCACAUCGAAUUAUCAUACUGCAGCUUUGAAUCAUUCAAGGUGCUGGCUAAGAAUUAUCUGGAGCUUGAUUCCCACCACCUGUUCGACACGAUUGAGAGGCUGUUGGGGGAAAGUAAAGUGACCCCAGCUGAUGUUGCUGAGCAUUUGAUGCCUAAGACAAGUGUGGCUGAUGUUGAAACAAGCUUGAAGAGCCUGGUUCAGGCAUUGGAGAUGGCCAAGGAACAAGCAAUGUUGAAGGCCAAGGAAGAAGGCAAAGAGAAGGAGUCAUCUGCUAGGGAAGAAGAUUGACGAUCAUUGGCAAUAGAGACUAUGAUUGUGUUUAUCCUACUGAAUUAAUUCCUGGGAAUUAUGAAAUAUUGGUCAAGUUAAUAGUAUGGUAAUUGAGGUUAAUGGGAAAUGCAUAUGGUGACCAAUUCUGAAGAUCUUUUCUAGGGCUUAAGGGGGCUUNNNNNNNNNNNNNNNNNNNNNNNNNNNNNNNNNNNNNNNNNNNNNNNNNNNNNNNNNNNNNNNNNNNNNNNNNNNNNNNNNNNNNNNNNNNNNNNNNNNNGAAGGAUAAGAGAAAUGAGAGAUGAAGAUAUUGGGAGCAAAGGAUAAGAGAAAUGAAAAGAUGAAAGUUUGUGCCUAAUGAAUAUUUUUACAAUAUGAAGAUGAAUGCUGAUCACUCGUGUUAUGGAAAUGGAAGAUAUUAAUAAUAUAAAAGUUCUUCAAGCACGUUUGGUACUAAUUUUAAAAAACAUUUCUAAUAUUUUUAAUAUUUAAAAAAUAUUAUCAUUCAGGUGUUAAAAAAGUUAUAAACGUUUUUUUAUAAUUAUUUUCAAAGAUACUUUUCAUUUACUAAUAAUAAUAAAAAAGUGUUUUUCAACCGUCACAAUGAUACUUGGUUUGACUAUGCUUUUAGAAAAUAUUUAUAAUAUAAAUAAUAUUGCGGCUAUCAGAAAUAUGAGAGUAAUGAGAGAUGAAGAUAUUGGAAUGAAAGGAUAAGAGAAAUGAAAGGGGGAAAGUUUGUGCCUAAUAUAUUUUUACAACUGGAAGAUGAAUGUUGAUCACUUGUGUCAUGGAAAUGAAAGACAUUAGUAAUAUAAACAUUCUUCAAGCUCGUUUGAGAGUGAUUUUAAAAAACAUUUCUAACAUUUUUAAUAUUUAAAAUUUUUUAUCAUUCAAGUGUUAGAAGGGUUAGAAACGUUUUCUAUCAUUACUGUCAAACCUACUCUUCAUUUAUUAAUAGUAAAAAAAAAAGUGUUUUUCAAUAGUCCCAAUGAUACUUGGUUUAACUGUGCUUGUAGAAAAUAUUUAUAAUAUAACAUUUCUUAAGAAAUCAAACAUUUGAAAAUAUUAAUAUUUUGAAAGUAAGGUAAAUAUCUCUUUUUUUUUAACAUAUUUUUAUAAUAUAAUAAGGCCCAUGCUGUAUUAAAUAGUAAAGAAAUAAAAUUUAAUAAUUUAAACUUUUAAAAAAUGAAUUUUAACCAUAUUUAAUAAAAACUCAUAUUAAAAUAAUUUAUUUAAGUUGUUUCAUUCCAUAGGAAAAAAAAAAAAAAAGGGAAUUUAGCCAAGACUAUGGAUGCAACUUUGGAUGGUUGGUGUGAUCCAUCCAACAUAUGAGUAUGAUUGGACAAUUAUUUUCAAUACUCAAGUUGGGCUUAGGUUAGGUUUUUCUAUAUAUUAAUUUGAGCUCAUUUUGUUUAGAUUUUUUUUUUAAAAAUAUAUUAAGUUAUAUUAUGUCAAUUUUUUUUUCAUGUUUUUAGUAAAGAUAUAUAAAUUUAUUUUUGUUUUUAUUUUUGUUAUUAUCUUGAAAUUUUGUUACAUUUAUAAUCUGACCAAUCCGAACUUAAAUAAAUGAUGUUGGGUUGAAUACUAUGGAUUAGAGGGCAGAUUAGGUUGAGUUCAAUUUAAUUAUUUUUUAAUACGAGUUAGACUCAAGUUAACCAUCAAUCCAAUCAACUUACCCAAGUUGCAACCUUAGCCUAAACUAAUAUGCUUCCAAUAUAUAGUUUGGUAUUUUAUUAUUAUUAUUAUUAUUAUUAUUAUUAUGCAAACAUUUGGGAAAUUUCAAGGAAUAAAAAUAGAGAAUAAAUAAAAAUGAUUUAAGAAAAAAUGUCAAAAUGAAGAAGAAAUAUCAUGACUUACAUUCAUUUUUAUUUCAUAUUAGCUCGUUAGAAGGUAUCUAUAUAUAUAUAUAUAUAUAUAUAUAUAUAUAUAUAUAUAUAUAUAUAUAUAUAUAUAUAUAUAUAUUGAAAAGAAAAAACCUUUGUCAACUUUUCCCAUAAAAGAUUAUAGGAAAAAUUAUAUAUUUAUAACUUUUGUUGAUAGGAAAAGUUAUAAAAAAAACUUUUUUGCAUUUUUCAUUAAAUAUUUAUGGGUGGUGUGGGACCCAACUCCAGUCCAGGCAUAAAUCCAUUUCUUGUCCAAGUAUCAAACAAACAAAAGGAUAUUUGAGUAACGUCCAUAUUCAUUACACAAGUACUAAAUGUAUCGAACUGUUACAUUAGGAGUAAUCAUGAAUAUAGACAUCUGAUUUUAAGUUUAAAAGUUAUUAUUUGUAAGACCAAUUAUUGGCAUUUAAAGCAUUAAAGAGGCACAUAAAAUGUUACAACUUUGUUAGAAUGAAAGACCACUAGACAUUAAUUUUAGGUAUGAAUGAAUCUCCUUAAAAAAGUCAUAGCCCUUUUUUUUUUCUUCCAAAAACUAACUUAAGCUUUGGAAGAAUGUGCAUGGAAAUACCUUUUGGACACACCUUGUUGCAGGUAUGUUCGUCAUUUGCUCGAAGGAAGUUAGUUGAAAAAAAUAUUGUUGACUAUGCACCAACAAUUGGCAUUGUUUGUGGGAAACGAACGAAAAGCCUUAAAUGUAGAAGGCUAACGUACCUCUUGGAACAUUUCCCAUUCGACAUAUAUGGACAACCGAUUCCACACAUAGCAAACCAAAAUGGAGAGAAGGCAAGAAGAGUAUGAGCGGUGCAUGCAAUCGCUGUUUUAGCAUGCAAAGUAGUUGAAAUAGGAAAACAAAGAGUUAUGGGCGCAAAUAGCCUCAAGACAUCAUGUGAGUUAAAGGAGGCAUUGCACACCUAGCCGAACGACCUCGAAGCCAACACGAAGUUGGCUAUGUGCUUACAAGCAUAUAACUAAACUGCUAAAAGCGGAAAAACAAAGUCGAAUCUGGCUAUGUGCUCACACACACCUAACUAAACCACUAAAAGAGGAAGAACAAAAUUGAAUUCGGCUACGUGGUUACAAACACCUAACUAAAUAGCUAAAAAUGGAAGAACAAAGUUGAAUCCGACUACAUGCUUAUAAGCGCCUAACUAAACCGCUAAAAGCAGGAGAAUAAAGCCAAAUCCAACUAUGUGCUCACACACACCUAAUUAAACUACUAAAAGCUGAAGAAUAAAAUUGAAUUCGGCUACAUGGUUACAAACACCUAACUAAACGGCUGAAAAUGAAAAAACAAAGCUAAAUCCAACUACAUGCUCAUAAGCACCUAACCAAAUGGCUAAAAAUGGAAGAAUAAAGUUGGAUUCAUCUAUGUUCUUAUACACACCUAACUAAAAUAAUGAUUCAAUUACUAUGCUCAUUCUUCAAGAUGGAAGGUGGAGUGAGGAAGAUGUUUUUGUUUUAGUGCCUGUAACAUAAUUGCUAUAGUGAUGGUUUUUCAAGAUGGAAGGUGGGUGUGGUUCUACCAUUGCUUUUCUUGUUAUAUUAAUGAUAUUGAAUUGGCCAAAUUUUACUUAGGUUGUCUUGUUUUGAUUGGAAGUAUGCACCUAAUGGAGUCACUGCUUAUUCUGCCCUAACCAAGAGAGUCACUUACAAGGCAAGACGAUAAAAAUAUAACAUCUUUAAUAUAUAGUUGCUAGCUUGUUUCUUUAUCAAUUUUGAUUUCAUUUUAUUCUUGUUUUAUUUAGGUCUUGAUUGUGACGAAAAAUUUAUGCCUAUGUUCUAUUGUUAUGGAGAUGAUCAUUGAGACCACACAAAGGUUCUAUUGUAGACCCUCCAUUUUGUCCCCUUAGUACAUGUUCUAUUAGGAGUUUAGUUCAAUACAUCAUAGCAACUUCUUGGUGGCCCAUUACUACUAAUUCAGUUUGCCUUUUUCAAGCCACCUCAGAGACUUUGGUUGAGGGAUUUAUUUGGCUCUAACCCUUGACAAUCUUGAAUUAGACUUAGAAUUUUCCUUCCUUUUUAAGAUAACUCUUUUAGGUACAUUUUUUAGGACACUUAGUUCGCCCUAGGUCACUUAAACACUUUUAGACUCACUUCUUUUUGUGCAUGACUUGCAUGGUUGCAUGACUUACAUGACUUGUGUGACUUUUUUUUAAUUUUAUUUAUCAUUUUUGUUUCAUUUUAUUUUAUGUUAUUAUAUUAUAAGGUUUCUAGCUCAUAUUUAUUGGAUUUUUGCACGAGGAAACUGGUUGCCAUCUAUUUGGAAGGAGAAUCACUAGAAAUUUCAAGAAAGGAAAGUGGCUGAGAUUUUCAUUUUUUUUAGUGGAAAAAUAAGAGCGACCAAAUUUUCCUUGAGAAGAAAGAGAAAGUGGCAGAUUUUUCACAUGAAAAAAAAGUAGCAGAUUUAUUGAGGAGCUGGAAUUCUUUUCUAUGGAAGGAAAAGGUGGCAGAAUUUUGGAGGGAAAAAGGAAAGUAACAAAUGUUGUUAUAUAGAGAGGCACGUCUUCAAAAGGACCAGGUGAGAUUCCAGGCUGGGAGGAUAGCAAAGGAGAAAGAGGUUGUUCUGGUUUUGGUUUUUAUUAUAGAGAGAAGAGGAUGACGAGAGAGGGACAUAGGAUGAUAGACCAUUAAGAGACAACUGCAAAAAAAAAGGGGGACAAAGGCACCAAUACGGGUAGCAGACAUGAUCAGCACACACUAGGAGAGAACUGGGCAGAAAAGCGAGAAUCAGAGGAGCAUUUUUCGGUAUGGCUGCUCUACGCUCUCUGUUUUCUUGAUCAUCGUAUAAUUCUUCAUAUUUUCUUUCAAUUUAUGGGCAUUGCGUCUUUGCUUUAGGUAUGGAUAUCAGGCUGUAUGUUUGUUUUUAAUUAAGUUCUAGGCUGAUCAUAGAUUUUAAUAUUGCUGAUUUAUUUGUCCUUAUAGCCCUGUUUGUGGGUAAUUUGGUUUGCUCUAAUUUGCUACAUAUCAUAAGUCUUGCUACUGGUGCUUUUCUCCUUUAACUAUAUUUGAUGUCCCACUUGGUUUUCAAGCCCAUUUAAGGAGCAUGAAAUGUGGCUUAUUCUGAUUACCCACCCAUUGUCUUCCUUUCCCCUGUUUUUUUUUUUCUUGGUUUCUUUUUCUAUGCUUCUAUAUCUACGUUUCUUCCUUUUCUUUAUUUUGGUGCUCUCGGCUAUGAAGAUCAUAAUGGGUUUGAGUAUUCCAAGAAAGGUGGAAACUUUAUAAAGGCUGUGUACAGUGGGGAUUGCGUGGAGCUAGAUAGGUGCAGAGGUUGCCACGGUUUCUAGGAGCUCUUUGUGACUUUCUGGAUUGGAUGUUGGUAGAUUUAAACUAUGAAGAUAUCCCUCUGGUAUUUAUGUUGUUUGCAUGAUUGAUGAAAGAAUAUACUCUUUUUUUUGGGUUUUGUGUCAUGAAAAGAGCAUGGGGUCAUCUCCACACUAGAAAGUUUCUCACUGAGUACUUGCAGCAAGGGAUCAGAUCAUGGUUCUUGCUCCUGGCGGGAUCUGGAAUGUUUUGAGUAAUGAAAUGGUUGAAACCGGGUUGAGACUAAAUCUGGCAGUUUAUGGUAAGAUGGUUGAUGUGUUAUGAGAGUUGGCCUUUCAAAUAUUUGAUGCUCCAAGCGGCCUGAGAUAGAAUCUGGGAGACCUGGUUUUUCUUCAGUUUCCACUUCAAACUUGUCUUUAAUGAAGGAUGGAAGCGUGAUAUCACCAAGAAUGGUCCUAAAGCUAUUAGGUAAGGGUCUGUCACUGUUGGUUCACCUGUACUGCAUUGGGGACAAGGGCGUAAUCUCUCUAGAUGGAUGAACUUUCAGUGCUUUGUUACUAUUAGAGAUGACUCAAUUGUUAUUAGGUCACUGGACGAGAAGAAAGGGGCUUGGGUAUCCACUCAGGAGUGAUUCUUCAUUUGGUUCUUCUCUGUCUCAUACUACAACAGAUUCAUAUUUAAAUUACAGUGGAGUCAGAAAAGUUAAAGUGAAUAAAGCCAGGGGCUCUGACAAUGGUAUACUUAAGGAAUGGGGCACUUCUACAAUAGGGAAGGCUACAGUGUUUUUUUUUCAGUUGGUACAGCCUGACAUAAGAGUGAUUACAGCAACAUUUUACUGGUCCUUGUUUAUAAUAAUGGUAAUCAGAAAAUCAUUCCAAUGGGUGCUUACCUUAAUAAGGCAACGUCCAGUUUUGGCUCAAUAAGUUCUAUCUCCAACUAGGAGACUGCCAGUUCUAUAUCAAUGGGUCACACCCAUCACGCAGUGGAUAGGAGUCUGCCGUAUUAACCCCAAGCUUUUUGGCUUUAGUAUUGUUUUUUAGGAAAAGUUUCCUUCAGCAGGCCCCUCAAUCACGGCAUAACAGACAGAGAUGGCAUUUCUAAAGCAAUUUCAAUGUCCUCCCAACAGUCCUUUGAGUUUGGGAAUUCUUGGUAACAGUCAUCAUGCAUGGAGAAUCCUCACCCUUCACAUGAGAAAUUGCUUUAGCUGAUGAAUAAUGCCUUCAUUGUCAUCUACCGAACAAAGAGAACCUCUCAAGGUGAACCUCAAGAAUUGCAAGUUAAGCCAAUGCCCCUUGUUCAAAAAGAAGAUCAAAUUCAUGAGGUCCCUGCUAAAUGAACUUUUUGUUGAUCCUGAGAUUGAAAAAGCUGUGAGAACUGCAGUCCUUUUGUCUGGUUCCCCUCCCGACAGCCCACAUCAAGAAGCUAAAGGUCUCAAUAGUGAAGGAUCUAACCACAAUUUCUCAAAGAAUGUAGACUCAGGUGGUCAUGAAAGUGACAUCCCUUCCUCUGUUGGCUUCUCAACCUUCAGAUAUUUUCGUUUACGGAAAUUGUGUGAUAAUUGGCUAUGGAUUGAUUAUAUAAUUGAAGUUUCACUAAUCCACCCUAAUAAGAAUGUUGAAAAUGUUAAAGAAUUUUUAGACACAAACAUCCAGCAAGCUAUUGAAGGUUCUUCUGGCAUAAAAUAUUCCUGAGGUUGGUUUACUCGGUGGAUUUGUAGAUAUUGGAAUGAACAUAAAAAGAAUGGUGGAUGAGAUAUUGCAGUCUGUUCGUAUAUUGGCUCACGAUCACUGUAAGUGUCAUGUCAUACAGCAUGUUCCAGAAUCUGGGAAAGUCCCAUACGAAAAAGGCCCCUCUAUCUUUCCAGACCCAUGGAUGUGUUGGAAAAAGGGGAUGAAUGAAAUUAAGUAAAUCCAUUGAAUUAAGUAAAUUCAUUCAUUUUUCCAGAAUUCUAAGAGUCUCAAGAAGCCAAAUUCAUUUUGGCUUUCUGAACCUGUUUGUGUUCUUCCCUCCUUGAAGUCUAUAAAUAGUGGUAGACUUUCUUUCAAAAAAAAAAGUACAGAAAAACUUUGGAGUAUUGUCAGAGUGUUGAAUAGUUCCUUUCUUCCGUGUCCGUGAUAGAGUUGAACAAUUUCCAGUUCGCCGGAGUAGCUGCAGAGUGUUGUUGCUGCCAUUCGAAGAUCGUUUUAUCCUGGGAGACAGACGCCUUGCGAUUCUCAAAGCACCUGUGGAGAAGACGAAUCUGUUUUAAGGAGAUUGUGUUUUCCACAAGACUCGGUCUAAUCUUCUUCCUUAAUUCUCUGUUUUUUUUUUCUUCAGUUUUCUUUUAUUUUCUUAUGAACUAACCAGUGUGUGCAGUGUGGUUGUCUAACAUUCUUAAAACAUAUUUUUUUCAAAGGAAAACCAGUGGUUGGUGAAAAGGAAACAAGUUAUCAGGAAGAAGAAGAAGAAGAAGAAAAAAAAAACCAGUGGGAAAAAAAAAACCUGUAAGUUUUUGGAAAAGAAAAAAAAAAAAAAACAAAAGAUAAUUUUUGAAAAAAAAAAAAAUUUGCAAGUUUUUUUGAAAAAAAAAAAAAAAAGGAAAAAAGAAAUUGACACAUUUUCUUGGAUGUUUCAGGAAAAUGACAACUGAAUCCGAUAACGUUGUUGUAACUGAAUUAGCCCCAGUGGCAACCCCUACUGUGGCCCAAGUGCCAGCGAUGCCUACUGUUGUACCAAUCUCUGUCUCACCAGGAGAAAAACCAGAGAAGUUCAGUGGACUAAAUUUUAAAAGGUGGCAACAAAAGAUGUUAUUCUAUUUGACCACGUUGAAUCUUGCAAGAUUCUUGACUGAGGAUGCUCCUAAGCUCAAAGAAGACGAGCACGAUAUCCAAGUCAUCAGUGCUAUAGAUGCUUGGAAACAUUCUGACUUCUUGUGUAGAAAUUAUGUCAUGAAUGGUUUAGCUGAUUCGUUGUACAAUGUUUAUUCUGACAAGAAAACAGCUAAGGAGCUAUGGGAAUCUCUAGAUCGGAAAUAUAAAACUGAGGAUGUCGGGGCUAAGAAAUUUGUUGUGGGUCGCUUCCUCGACUAUAAGAUGGUAGAUUCCAAGACUGUGGUAAGUCAAGUCCAAGAACUUCAAGUAAUCUUGCAUGAGAUACAUGCUGAGGGAAUGAUGUUGAGUGAAACUUUCCAAGUAGCAGCUAUUAUUAAGAAACUACCCCCUGCUUGGAAAGAUUUUAAGAAUUACCUCAAGCACAAAAGAAAGGAAAUGAGCAUCGAGGAUCUAAUUAUUAGACUUCGCAUUGAAGAAGAUAAUAGAAGAUCUGAAAAGAAAAGGGCGCACACUCUAAAUGAGGCUAAGGCUAACUUUGUGGAACAUGGUCAAAGUUCCAAGGCAAAGACGAACAACAACAAAGGGAAAGGAUCUAAGUUGGGACCUAAAGGAGGGAUCUCAAAGAAGCCGAAAUUUCAAGGGAAAUGCUUCAAUUGUGGUAAGCAAGGUCACAAGUCUGUUGAUUGUAGACUGCCUAAAAAGAAUAAACCUAAGGAAGCUAAUGUGAUUGACGACAUCACUAAAAAUGUUUCUGACAUUGACCUCACAGCAGUAGUCUCUGAGGUGAACUUGGUGGGUUCUAACCCAAAGGAAUGAUGGAUUGAUACUGGUGCUACUUGCCAUGUAUGCUCUGAUAAGAAAAUGUUCUCCACUUUUGAACCAAUUGAGAAUGGGGAAAAAGUGUUCAUGGGGAACUCUGCCACCUCUGAGAUCAAUGGUCAAGGUAAAGUAAUCUUGAAGAUUACUUCUGGGAAAGAGUUGACUCUGACCAAUGUUUUAUAUGUACCGGAAAUUUGCAAGAACUUGGUGUCUGGUUCAUUGCUGAAUAAUCAUGGAUUUCGGUUGGUCUUUGAGUCAAACAAAUUUGUUUUGUCCAAGAGUGGAAUGUAUGUUGGGAAAGGGUAUAUGAGUGAUGGAAUGUGGAAACUCAAUGUAAUGACUAUUAUUAAGUCAAAUAUGAAUAAAGCUAGUACUUCUACUUACAUGCUUGAGUCUUCUAAUCUAUGGCAUGGUAGAUUAGGACAUGUUAAUUAUGAUACAUUACGUAGAUUAAUUAACUUAAAUCAUAUACCAACAUUCCAAAUUAAUUCCAACCAUAAAUGUGAAACUUGUGUUGAGGCAAAACUAACAAGGUCAUCUUUUCAAAGUGUUGAAAGAAACACUGAACCCCUUGAUUUGAUCCAUAGUGAUAUCUGUGAUUUGAAAUUUGUACAAACAAGAGGUGGUAAUAAAUAUUUUAUUACUUUUGUUGACGAUAGCACCAAAUACUGUUAUGUGUAUUUACUAAAAAGCAAGGAUGAAGCUAUAGAGAAAUUUGUUCUCUAUAAAAACGAAGUUGAGAAUCAACUCAACAAGAAAAUUAAGGUACUAAGAAGUGAUCGAGGUGGUGAGUAUGAAUCGCCAUUUGUUGACAUUUGUGCUCAACAUGGGAUUAUACACGAAACAACAGCACCUUAUUCGCCUCAAUCCAAUGGAGUGGCUGAGCGAAAGAAUCGUACCUUAAAGGAAAUGAUGAAUGCAAUGUUAAUAAGUUCUAGUUUGCCACAAAACAUGUGGGGAGAAGCCAUUUUAACUGCUAAUUACCUUUUGAAUAAGGUACCCAAAAAGAAAGCAGAAAAGACUCCAUAUGAGUUAUGGAAAGGAAGAAAGCCAUCCUACACAUACUUACGAAUGUGGGGAUGUCUUGCUAAAGUGGCAGUUCUUCCACCUAAAAAGGUGAAAAUAGGACCUAAGACUAUUGAUUGCAUUUUCAUUGGCUAUGCACAUAAUAGUAAUGCUUAUCGGUUUCUUGUUUAUGAAUCAAAUAUCCUAGAUAUUCAUAAGAACACGAUAAUGGAAUCAAGGAAUGCAUCAUUCUUUGAAGAUGUAUUUCCAUAUAAAUCUAAAGAGGAGUCAAGUUAAUCAAAACAAAUGCUUGAGACUAUUAAUGAAAAUAGUCAACAUCAAAAUAAAGAAGUUGAGGUAGAACCUAGACAUAGCAAAAGGGCAAGGACAGAGAAAUCUUUUGGUCUAGAUUUUCUUACUUUUAUUCUUGAAGGCGAACCUCAAACUUUUAAAGAGGCAGUGAACUCUACAGAAGGUCUUAUGUGGAAAAAGGCCAUUAAGAGUGAAAUUGAUUCCAUAUUGCAAAACCAUACUUGGGAACUAGUGGAUCUUCCACCAGGUUGUAAACCUUUAAGUUCCAAGUGGAUUUUCAAGAGAAAGAUGAAAGUAGAUGGAUCAAUUGACAAGUAUAAAGCAAGACUUGUAAUCAAAGGCUACAGACAAACUGAAGGCCUAGAUUAUUUUGACACAUAUUCUCCUGUGACGAGAAUAAAUUCCAUAAGGAUGGUACUUGCAAUUGCUGCAUUGAGAAAUCUUGAAAUACAUCAAAUGGAUGUAAAAACAGCCUUUCUAAAUGGAGAUUUAGAUGAAGAAAUCUAUAUGGAGCAACUUGAGGGUUUUUCAACUCCAGGACAAGAAAAGAAAGUUUGUAAACUGGUGAAAUCUUUGUAUGGCUUAAAACAAGCACCGAAACAAUGGCAUGAAAAAUUUGACAAUGUUAUGCUGUCACAUGGCUUCAAAAUCAAUGAAUGUGACAAGUGUGUUUAUGUCAAGGAUACAGAACAUGGAUAUGUCAUUGUAUGUUUGUAUGUAGAUGACAUGCUUAUUGUUGGGUAGUGAUGNNNNNNNNNNNNNNNNNNNNNNNNNNNNNNNNNNNNNNNNNNNNNNNNNNNNNNNNNNNNNNNNNNNNNNNNNNNNNNNNNNNNNNNNNNNNNNNNNNNNUAGGGCACAAUUCUUAUUAAACUCUUACAGAACCAGGCGUAUGUUCAUGGCCAAAAUGAACAUAAAAGUGAGAACUGAAAUAUGUUAGGAAGAUUCCUGUGUGAGAUAUGUCAUCAUCUACAUAAAUGGCAGAACAGUUCAAGGACAUCGUGUCUACUGUUUAGCUAGUAGAGUAAACAUAUUUCUACAAGGGAAGGUUCAAAGGGUAACACCUACCUCUCCUAUGCAGGUUUCAACCGUUGUACUCUAUCACAAAGUUCAUCGUGUCUUAAUUUCUUUCAUGUGGGGAAUUGUUGGAAAAAGGGGAUGAAUGAAAUUAAGUAAAUCCAUUGAAUUAAGUAAAUUCAUUCAUUUUUCCAGAAUUCUAAGAGUCUCAAGAAGCCAAAUUCAUUUUGGCUUUCUGAACCUGUCUGUGUUCUUCCUUCCUUGAAGUCUAUAAAUAGUGGUCACUACUACAAAAAUAAUAUAUGAUGUCACUAUUUAUGGUGUCGCAUUUAAAAUAAUGACAUCAUUGAACUUAAAAUUUAUAAAGGUGACACAUCAUAUAAAAAAUCUUCAAUUAAGAUAGUUAGAUGAUGCUAAUUUCAGAUUUACGGUGUCAUUUUUUGGAAGUGACACCAUAUGAAAUAAAAAGUUUUAAAUUUUAUAACUUAAUGGGCCCUUUUUAAAAAUAGUGAGUAGGAACAAUUUAUGAAAAGUCCAUUGUUUCCAUAUAUACAUUAACUAAUAUAAAAGAUCUUAUUGCUUAACCCUAACCAUCGUUUUCUUCUCCUUCUUCUCACACCCAUGGUCGGCACACCCAUAAUUGAUAUUCUUUGCUUCGUAAAAUCUCGAGUAAGUCAAAAUCUCUUAUCUACCAUCUUCAUUUUUUUUAUUAAUGCAAAAAACUUUGUUAGUAUAAUUGUUUUAUAUCUCUUGAUUUAGUAUAUCUAUGAUGUGGGUUUUGUAAAUGGUGUUUUUUAUCGAGUUCCAGGGAAGUAAAAACUAGGUUUAACAUUCUAACAUAUUUUUUGUUUCAUUGCUAAUAAGCCCCAAAACAAAUGAAAACAAGAAAAAUGAAUUAUUUUUUAAAAUUUUGUCUAAUUGAGAAUGAGAGAUACACUAAUUUGUAGUAAUUUUUCACAUGAAAUAGUAUUUUAUUGAAGACUUGACUAUAUUUGAUACUUUUUUCCACCGUGCUAGGAGCUUUUUGGUGAAGUCUAACAAUAGAGAUUGACAUCUACUACAAGAUGAUACUCAAUUAAUCCAAAAGCACUUAAGUUAUUUAGGGUUUUCUUCGGUUAACCUAAGAAAACAUUCCCACUUUCUUUGUAUUGAGUCACCUAAAUAGAAUAAAAUAUUGGGUAUCAGAGUCGUAAAGGGUAUUAUAAAUAUGACUUUUUUUUUUUAGAGUCACCUACAUGGAAUGAAUUAUUGGUAGGUGAACAAAAUAUUGGGGUGAUUGUAAUAGUUGAAUUAGUAAAUGGAAGAUAAGUGUAUGUUGCUUUGUUUAUUCUAUAAAAACAAUAAUUUUAGUAGUUGAAAUUUACAUGCUUUGUUGUUUUAUAAAAACAAUAAUUUUAGUAUUUGAAAUUUUAAAAUGUGAAUGAAAUGCCUGAAAAUAUGUUUUCAAAAAUAGGAUAGUAAUAAAUGGAAAAUAACUCAUUUCCUAAAAAUAUUUUGAUAAAUUAAAAUAAUAUGUGGUUAAAAUAUAUUUUUGUGAAAGUAUUUAAAAAUGAAUCAAAAUAUUAAUAAUUGUUAUUUUGUUUGAAAAUAAUUUAGGAAUAUAAAAUAAUAUUGGGGAUAAUUUUUGAGUUUAAAUUGGGUUAUAAAUGGUUAAUUUUUUUAGGACUUUCCUUUUUGAAAAUAAUCCAAUGAUAAUUUUUUUUAAAUAAGAAUGUUGAAAAUAAUUUUAAAAAUAAAAUUUUGUUGGUAAUGAUUUUUCUAAAAGUAUUUUAGGCAUAAAUGGAAAUUUCUUGUAUGAAAAUAAGAGAAUUUAUAUACAUAAAAAUAGACUUCUUUGAUAUUUAAUAAACAAGUGAAUUUUUCUCUAAAAAAAGAAUAAAAUAAGAAUUUCUCUAUAUAAUAAAAUAAUUUAUAUAUGAGAUAGUUUUCAAUAAGAAAGUUUUGAAAAUAAAUUUGGGACAAAAUAUUUUUUAGUAAGUUUUGUUUAGAUAAUUCAAGAAUAAAGUGGUUUAUUAACUUUUCUUAAAAAAUAACAUUCUUCUUUCUUUUUUGAAUUGAUCAAUUUUUUUAGAAAUAAAAUUGUUAGAUUCUAUUUUUUGUAAAUGUUUAAGAAAUUCUAAAAAAUUCUUUAAAAAUGAAAUGACCUUUCUACCACAUUCCUUGUAAUAAAUAAUUGUUUUUUUUUAUACAUAUUGUAAAGUAAAAAAAAAGUCUUUGUUUAGUUAACCUAAGAAGACAUUCCUACUUUUCUUUGCGUUGAGAGUCACCUAAAUGGAAUAAAAUAUUCAAUAUCCUAGGAGAGUAAAAAGUAUUGUAGAAAUGAUUUUGUUGAGAGAGUUAUCUAAAUGGAAUGAGAUAUUGGUAGGUGAAUAAAAUAUUAUGGUGAUUGUAAUAGUUGACUUAGUGAGUGGAGGAGAAGUGUAUGCUUCUUUGUUUAUUCUAUAAAAACAAUAAUUUUAGUAGUUGAAAACGUGUAUGAAAUGACUGAAAAUAUUUUUUGAAAAAUAAGAAAAUAAUAAAUGGAUAAUAGCUCAUUUCCUAAAAAUCUUUUGAUAAAUUAAAAUAACUUGUAGUUAAAAUAUAUUCUUAUGAAAGUAUUUAAAAAUGAACCAAUAUAUUAAUAAUUGUUAUUUUGUUUAAAAAUAAUUUAAUAGUAAAAAAAUAAUACUAAGUUUAAAUAUGACUACUUUGUUAUGAGAUUCAUUAAAGAAAUAAUUGUUGAUUUUACAGUUAUUGCAUCAAAGGUUUUACUCGUUUAAUGAAUUGUACAUAAUUUCAUACUUUCAAUUAUUGUGAUAUUAAUGUUAUUCUCGAUCAUUUGAUUUCAGUUUGAUGACAAAUAAAACAUAUUCUCAAGUAGAAUUUGAUGAAAUUAGAGAUUACUUUUGUGUUAUAACUAAUCAUGAAUCAUAUUGAUGUAUUGUGAUCAUUCAUGGUAAGUCCCUUAGUUGUUAUAUGAAUGAAUUUUCCAUUGAUAUUGUAUAACAUUACUUAUUCUUUACGAACUAUUUUUAUACCAAAUGAGAAAAAGGAAAAAGAAAAAGAAAACAUUAGUACUUAGAUUUGUUUAUUGUUUAUAGCAUCACAUUUUUAUUUUCAAUAAGAACUCUAAAACUCAUUAAACUAUGAAAUGCAGGUAUACACUCUUGGGAGGACAAUAUGAAGAAUAAAAAGAAAGGAGAAAGAGGCAACAAGAUUUAGGUUUUUAGAUAUGACUCUUAUGUCAUACAUUAUAGGACAUAAAUGUUACUUUAUUUGGAAUUGAGAAUUUUGGGUUUUUGAAUGCAACUCUUGUGUCAUUUUAUGGUUAGCCGGUUUUAUGCAUAUGAAAUGCAAGUAUACAUGAAUGUUGGGAAGCUUAACAUUUCUAAAUCAUGUUUUAAUGUGUAUUCACUUUUCUUUUUUAGUUUUGGUGGGUUUGAUGUAUUUGAUGUACUAUCAUUUUGUGAACAUUUGAUAUACAAAUAUUAUUGGAUGAUGUAAUAUGUUACAAAUUAAUUCAUAAGCAUUAUGAAAAUAUAAGUUAAAUGUAAUAUGAUUAUUAUAUUUAUGGACAAUUUACACAGGUUAGUCUUAUUUAUUAAUAAGCAUUACAAAAAUCUACAAACUAAUCAACAAAAAACAACCAUAUCUUCCAUAAUCAUUUACAAUGAUGUGACACCAUAAAUUAAAGGUGAUACAUUUAACGUGACACCAUAACUUAAAGAUGAUGCAUUUAAUAUGACACCUUAUAUAUCUCAUACAACUCUAUAUAAAAUUAAGCAUCACUAAAAAUAUAUGGUGUCUCUUCUGAAUGUGUCACCAUUUAUCUGCUUUGGUGUCGCUUUCAAAUACGUCACCAAUUGAUACCCUCUAUGGUGUCAGUGGAUAAAGUGACGCUAUGUUGUAAUGACACCCUAUGUUUAUAGUGACUUAUUAUAAAUGUCACCAUAUAUCUUUUUCCUUGUAGUGGGUAGACUUUCUUUCAAAAAAAAAGUACAGAAAAACUUUGGAGUAUUGUCAGAGUGUUGAAGAGUUCCUUCCUUCCGUGUCCGUGAUAGAGUUGAACAAUUUCCAGUUCGCCGGAGUGGCUGCAGAGUGUUGUUGCUGCCAUUCGAAGAUCGUUUUAUCCUGGGAGACAAACGCCUUGCGAUUCUCAAAGCACCUGUGGAGAAGGCGAAUCUGUUUUAAGGAGAUUGUGUUUUCCACAAGACUCGGUCUAAUCUUCUUCCUUAAUUCUUUGUUUUUUUUUUUUUUUUCAGUUUUCUUUUAUUUUCUUAUGAACUAACCAGUGUGUGCAGUGUGGUUGUCUAACAGGAUACUGAUCUAACAUCUCGCAGCAGAAUUCCUUCGACAUUUGCUGAAGUAGAAUGAAUUUCCUAUUUUGAUAAAGUCGAGUAUCUUUCCCGGCAUCUUGUUGACAAGGGUUUCGCUAAUUUGGGACUCAUAUACCGUAUUAACUAUGAACAAGACCCUCAUCAUGUGGAGGAAAUCUAAAGCACUUUCUUGUGGUCAUAAUAAGCUCGCGGGCUGGUUCUUUGAUAAGGAGCUAGCGCAACUUUCUGACUGUUCUGUAUAUCGGUUUCAUUGCUGCUCACACAUACUCGAAAUGCCAUAAUCAGCUCAUGCAUUGUUUGAUUCCGAUGACUCGCAGCAAGAUGUGUUGGGGCCUUCUUCAUCCAACUUUAAAUUGAAUCUCGAGCUGCUCUUCUUCACUACCAGCAGAGUUUCGAGACUUCCGAAUCACCUACCGUCAUUGUCCAGAAUUAGGUGGAUCAAGGGUUUAUUAUGUUUUUGAUGAGAAUGAGCAGUUCAGGGAAGACAAAUUUUGUGAAGUUCAGGACUGCAUCAUUUUGAGGGGAGUUGCAAUACUCUCACUUUCCCGAGAAUGUAUGCGACCAUUUUCUUCCUGAGCUGAUGAACUUUUUUUCGAUAUAUGGGGCGAUUAAUAGGACUUUGUCCAAAGACAACCUUAUCCUUGUGGAAAAAGACUUUCUUUUUUGAAAUCCAUAUUCAUCUUCAAGAACAGCACUCAGGGAUGAGCAACGAGAAGCUUAAAUGUUCAGGAAAAUGGCCCUGACAAGUCAGAUAUGGAGAUUCCAGAAGUGAAGAGAAUUCAUAAGGAUGCAGCAGGCUGAAAAUAUUGAAGAGGCAGAAAAGGUAUCCAUCAUUCUUCGAAAAGGCAAUAGAAUUUUGCUUCAGCAAAAGAAAUUCAAGAGCUGGGAAAUCAAACUACAGCUAAUAUUGUGAAACAUAUUGGUCUUGGAGCAAUAGGGUUCGGAACAAGAAAGGGGACUUUAUACUUGCAGAAGUUGAAAUUGAUCAAGCUGUCCUCUGUCAUCAAGAGAAUCAUCAGUUUGCUCUUGAUGAAUAAAUUGGAAUCAUAGACAGGUUUUGUUCUUUUGUUCGGCAAAGAGAUCAAGUGCUUCAGAAUUUUGAAACUGUUGUUACAAUAUGUUAUUAUGGAGCUGUUCUCAUUCUUUUAAGAGAGCUUUUACAGAAGAGGAUUCAUUUGAAGACCAGUACAAAGACCCAGUCAUCAUCCCAUGUCUCUAGUGAUGUGUCGGACAGUUGCAGCCAAGACCAUCUUUCAGAUGCGGCAGCUCCAUAUUGAGAAUAGACAGUAGGGUCUAGUUGCGGGGGUCACAUUUCCGUAGAUGCAUCCCGCAAUCAGUACAACUUUUGAGGUGCAUAGGUGUCUACGCUGUUGACAUGAAAGACAUGCGUACCCAACCCAAGGAUAAAACAAGUGGAAAGAUAAUCCACAAACAGGUUGGUCUGCUUAUAUUAUGUGGAGGCAAGAAUUAUCAUCCCAAGAAGAGACCCAAGAUUCCAUUAAUGCUAUGAAGGCUUAAAAAAACCUGUUAUUGAUGGCUUAUGCGUUGAGGAGAUGAAAAAAAUGGGAAAGAGAAGACUGGCUGUUUCCAUUUCGAUGAGACUUUCCAAAACUAGUUGUUAUGGUAUAAAGCUGAAUUCGAUAAGCUAAGUUCAUAAGUUUGAAUCCAAAUGCAGCGGAAUAGGUGGCAUCCGCCCUUGAGACGUAAAUGCGUUAACAAGGUUCACUCCUUUUGGGACGUUUGAUUCAAUCCGUCUUCGUCCUUGCCUCAUGUUUGAAUGCUGAGAAAUGUGAUUUUUGUGACCUCAUUGCAACUAAUGCUUCUUCUUGAAUCAGACAAGGGAAACUGAAGAAUAAAUUAAUCCCCUGCACCCAGUGAUUUUUGCUUAUGGAUGUGAGAACAAUGAACUUCAUAAUUCUAAUUCUAGGCCUGGUAAAGCUGACUCCAGUUCUUCUAAGGUCAAAGAAGAAAAACUGAAGAGUGAGAGCCUGGUGCAAAACAAGGUUGAUUUCGAAUAGGGGAACUACGGAAAGACGAGGAAGCUCCCAAAGAAUUGGUACUCCUACUUCAUAAGACGAAUAAGAUACAAACAGAAGAUGCUGCCCCAAGCUCUGUUUCGGCACAUACUGAAGGUACUGGACCACAUGUUGCACUUCCAAAGCUCUCAACAAAGCCACUCCUGUGAAUCUUGCUUAGCAUGCCUAUGGGAAACCUUGGUGAAUCAUCGCGUUGUGCCAGCAAUCAGAACGCGAAUUUCCAAAAUGCCCAAAGAGAGAAAGAUAUGGAUUUAAUGAAGCACGAAAUUUGGUUUCUAUGUGCCCUUUUUUUUUUUUUUCUUUUUUUGUUCUUUUGGGAAUGAGUUGCAUCCAAAGAAGCUAACAAGUCAUCAGUUUUGAUGUGAGAAGGCUAGACAAAACAGCACAAAAUGAGGUCGGAACCGAUGCAUUCUUGCAGUUAGAGAAAAUGCUGAUGAAAUAGAAUUUCCAGAUUGCAGAAUGCCUUUCAAAGUUCGGGAUUCUACAGUAGCAGAAGUCUUUGGGCAGUCUUCUUAACCCUUUCAUCAACAAAAUUGCAGCAACAAUUUCCUCAGCCAGAGUAAAACUUGUCAGACUAAAAUGCUUGGAUGGAGACUUGAAAUUUUUUACUUGGGUACGAAAGAGGGCAGAAUGCAAUUAAGGAUCCAGUACAUUCACAGUGCCCACUUCAGACCUCACUUCAACAUAGCCAUCUUGGUGCACACCCUCCUCUCUAAUUUUGUUUCUUUGAUUGAGAAUUUAUAGUUUUGAAUUGAUUUUUUUAAAUCCAGUUUCAACUAAUAAUCCUCAAUUUUUAAACCCCAUCCUUAGACUUGUUAGGCAUUAAAAUCCUUAUUUUUAAUAAACCUUGUGUUGCCAUUUUCCUUUUGGUACACAUUUUUCACGGUUUUCAACUAAUUUUCUCAAUCUUUUUUUUUUUUCUAAUGAGCAUAAACAAACAUCAUGGUUCCAAAUAAUAGAAUCCAUAGAAUCAACUCAUACAAAAUUAAUUGGGCCUUGGUGGAAGCCUGACAUCCAUGAUAUCUUCUUUGAUAUUGACUCAAAUGAGGAGAUUGUUCGAUAUUUGAUUGAUUUUGAUUAUUUUUUGUGAUACAUGAGAUUGUUUUGCACUUGUUAUUGAGCUAACCCUAUUUCUAUAGAAUUGUUAAUGCUUGCUACACAGGUGCCCUCUCCAUCACCUAUUUUCAGAAUUCUAUGAACAUAUAUGUUAUUAUGAGUUAUGUCCAUGUUUGAUAUUAUCUUUGGAUGCCUUGAUAUUGAUUUGAUUUGCUAUGAUAAAAAGCAUGACGUGUGUCAUAUUUUUUAACUAACUUUGAUGUUUUGUGAUAGCGCUUGAUAAGCAGUUUAGGUACACAUCCUAACUCUUAUUUAUAUUUGUGAUUGACUUUCUUAUUUGGCAUGCUAAUUUUGAAAUCACCUUAGUCUACCUAGGUACCUUUAAUUAAUAGAUUAAUCGUCACAUUUCCUUUAACUUAGCUAGUAGAGACCUUUUUAGGGCUAAGAGGGGUGUUACCUCUUUGAGGUACCUUCCCAAUAGGUAACCUAAUCCCCAAAUCUAGACUCGGGCUUUUCAAAGACAUGUUUUGCAAAACUUUGGAGUCACUUUUCUUAGGGUUUUCUUUCUUGUUUUAUUUUCUUUUUAAAAUAAAAAUAAAAUAAGCGGUGACUCCAACUUUUUCAAAAUUAAUUUUUCACCAUUUAAAAAGCAAGUCUCGCUAAUGAGUGGGGACGCAUGUGAAAAAUGUGGGUCCACACCUAUUCUCCAUUGGGAUUAUCAUCCUGGAAUCAAUAAUUUUGUUGUACUUCUUGUUGGUAGAAUCCUGAUUGUCAUGUAAAUAGUUCUUCUGAUAGUUAUGAUCAUUGGUUCUCAUUGUUUAUCUCAAUAGGAGUAAGUUGUUUAUUUGAAAAGAGAAAGCAUCAAACUCUUGAUUAUGAGGUUUUAUACUAUGAGACUCCCUAAAAAAUUAUUGUAAUUUAAAUAAUCUAACUUUGAGCUCAUUAAAUGUCUUCAUUGAUUAGAAAUUUUUCUUCACUUUCCUUUAUCAAGCUUCUUCAAGUUUGUAUUUUUAGUUUUUAUAUUUAUUGAGCGGUGAAUUAGUCAUUAUAAUGUUAGGUUAUGUAUCUUUUUUAGGAUUUAUUUGACAAAGAAUUUCUUUUUACCUCCGGUUAAAAGCAAAGUUAGUCUUAGGCUAUCUCAAAUAUUAUUUUAAUUUACUUUUUUAGGUCAUGUUUGGUUGGUUAGAUAUAAUAGUAGAUAGGAAAAAAGAUGAAAUAGUGUAUCAUAUCUCAUGCUUGGUUGAUGAUGGAUCGCAUAUGGGAUAGGAUAAAUGGUAGAUUAAUAUAUUUCCCAUCCUUUUUUCCUAUAUCUCCUAGGAUAUGAUAAUGAAGACUACAAAAAAAGUGAUAGUACUAUAAGUAUAAUGAGCUUAGCAUGAAAGACAUUUUGUCAACUGAAUUAUUUUAGGCAAAUAACUUUUCAACAUACUCAAUGACAUAUGAAUUUUAUUUUUUCACAAAAUCAAAAGACACUUAUGUUAUAAAUAUAUGUGAUGCAACAUUUCAAUGUAUAUAUGAUUAACCUUCUUAUAUUCAUGUAGUAGAUAACUAUAAACUAAAAUUUGACUUAAGCUAUAUUUGGUUGGUUAGAUGAGAUAUGUUUAUCUUAAAAUAUCACUUUCAUGGGAUAUGACAUUAUUAUAUUAACCAAAUCACGCACACACAUAAGCAUAUAAUAAAGAAAAACACAAUAUUUUUAACAUGGUUUGGCGAUUAAUGUGAUCCUUAUGUCCAUAGAGUGCAUCAACAUUCAAUAAUCCAUUAAUCAAAAGAAAUGAAGGAUUAUAAUGGUGAAACUCUCGAAAAAAAACUCCUCUCAAUUGCGAUCACACUCUAAAAAAACCCCUAAAACAUAAAAGGGUUAAAAAUAUAAUAAAGCACACACAUCAUAUAUCAUAUAAAUAAAAUAAAAUAAAAACUUCUCCAUGGGGCACUAUCCCCUUCAGCCCUUAUGAGUUGACCAAGCAACUUGAUCCCCAGGAGCUGAUUAGGAAGCUCAACCCCUAGUAUGCCAAGUUGUUAGAAAAAUUAGGCUAAUCCAACCUAUGGUAAUCACCCUAGAGGGGGGGUGAAUAGGGUGAUGGUCUCUUUUUACAGAUUUAAACUAUGAGAAUGUAAGAGACAAUUAUAUGCAAGUAUAUAAUAAACAAUAUAAAGAUAAUUGUAUAUAAAUUAAAAGAAUAAGGAAGAGAGAAUGCAAACACAAGAUUUUAUAGUGGUUCGACACAACCCGAUCUACAUCCACUUUCCUCUAGCUUUAAUCCCAAGCUUGAGGUUCCAUUAGUUCAAGGCUUCCAAACCAAGCCUUCAAGCAACACAAUUGGAUUAUGGUUCCAAUUCACUCUCUUGGACUUUUGGCUCCAAGCACCCUUUACACUUCUCAAGAGAUAUCCCACACUUGAGAAACUUCCUCUCAAAUGUUUACAAAUAAAUGAUCUCACAAAAUCCUAGUACAAAAACUUUAAGCUCAAAUGAUACAAGAAAACUAGGAUUAAAUGGUACACUAAAGAUAUACAAGUUUUAGAACAAUGGUGCACUCAAAAACAUUCUUCCAAUGCUUAAAUAUAUUCAAGAAAGGUUUGGGAAUGUUAAGCUUAUAAAACAAUGAAGAUUGGAGCCUUUUUAUAGAAGAAAAAAAACCAAACUAGCCGUUGGAGGUUCGACCGGUUGACUAGCCGUUAGCAUUUAAUGCUUGGCAGGUGACAAUUGGAACUCGACCGGACCUCAACCGGACCUUGAAUGGACCUCAACCAGUUGAGGUUCAACCUUGACUGGUUGAACAAUCAUUCUGGAAGAAAGAGAAAUUUUUUUUGCACCCUCGACUGGUUGAGUUGGGGGUCAACCCGGACCUCGACCGGUUAAGCUAGGGGUAAACCUGAACCUUGACCAGUUAAGCUGGCGGUCGAUCGAUUCCUUAUUCGGCUCAAUCGGUUGAGUAGUUUUUGGCUCAACAACUAACUUUUUCAACUUAAAACCUUUUAAGACAAAUUUGAAAAACAUUUAACACAAGGUUUUAGUUGAAAACAUGAAAUCAUCCAAUUUUUAAAAUAUUUAAAAUAAAAUAACCCUUGGAUAAUUUUGGUGCAUAAGUAAAGAAUGUAAUACAUGAAAAUUAUAGUGCACCAACAACCUUACAAAGAGAUCUUAUGAAGCUUGGGUCUUGAAAAACACUUCUCUUUGAGGUGGUCUUCUUUUUCAUGAUUUCUUCUUGACUUGAUUUGUCUUUGUGAUUUCCACUUUGGAAAUCGUCUUGCCUAAUCACACUUGAAAUAUAAUCAUUACUAAACCUUGUUUUGUUAUCAUCAAAAUCAAGAUUAACUAAACCUUGAUUUCACACAAGUGAAACACAACAAAACUAAUUCAGCCUUUAUAAUCCAUGCUUUAAACAUUAUAUUCGUUGAAAUAUAUCAUGUCAUACUUAUGUAUGGUUUAUAAAAAGAAUAGAUAAUGAAAUGGAACAUAUUACAUUUCAACAUUCGUAUUGUUUAGAAUAAAAAAUUUCUUAGUACUAUUAACUAAUGCCACCUCAAUAGCUCACAUAUUUAGACUAUUGACAAUAUCAAAUCCUUGAAUUCUCAUUUUCUCUUUCUUUUUUCUUUUUUUUUUUAACUUAUUUUUCUUUACAACAUCUCAUGAAAUCACAUAAAAAGGAAUCGGGAAGCCUUGAUUGAUGAGUGUUUUGCUUGCUAAACAAAACAACCUUCAUGGCUAGCAAUCAACAUAUGGAAAAAUACCUUAGGUUGAUAUCAUCAUGCAGCUUUGAACUCUUUUUGGUUAGUUCCCAUAAAUUUUUGGUAGGUAAGGAUAAAAGCAUAUUCAUGUUGACUAUAGAGCUUAUCAACUCAGGAAGCAGUCGAGGUCCAACUAGCUUCUUUCAAGCGAAUGACGAGCAUACCUGCAACAAGAUGUGUCCAGAUAGUUGUUUAUAGUUGAAAUUAAAGUUAGGUGGUCUUUUAUUCUGGCAAAGUUGUAACGUUUUAUGUGUCUCUUUAAUACUUUAAAUGUCAACAAUUGGCCUUGCAAAUAACAACUUUUGGGCUCAAAGUCAAAUGCUUAUACUCAUGAUUACUCUUAACAUAACGGUUCAGUACAUUUAUAACUUGCAUAAUGCAUAUGGACACUACCCGAAUAUCCUUUUGUUCGUCUGAUAUUUGGACGAGAAAUGGAUUUAUGCCUAGAUGAAUGCGGGGUCCCACAAUGACCUCCAAUUUUCUCAGUCAGAUUUGUUUAGUCACUAAAUUGGCUACUAGAGAAAAUUUAAUUUCGACUUGCUUGUUGAAAAAGUUUUCAAAUUUCAUUUUUUGGUGCCAAAGGGACAUUUGUCCAAUGCACAGGGCUCGAGACAACGCAUGAAAAAACACUGGAUUACAUAUGAUAUCUCUACUAUUCCUUUGGAUGGUGAGGAGAAGUUGGAUGAGGAAGUUCCCCUUUGAGACAGGUCGGGUGUUCCAGACAAAAGUGGUGUUGAAGCUCAAUUAAGCAAUAUGGCCAAUUAGACCUGUGGUCAGAUGCUUGUAACUAGUUUGCCACUUUUUUGGACAAUUAUCCUCUUAGGCUUUUACGCCUUUCAUGAUGACAUAGAUAUUUUUGCUAUACAUUCCAAACAUAAUAUAAGUUUUUUGGUGUCUAAUGUUCAAGAAAUUUCCUUAAGUCAUGAUCUUUCUCCUUCUUAAAUCAUUUUUAUUUAUUCUUUAUUUUUAUUCCUUGAAAUUUCCCAAAUGUUUGCAUAAUAAUAAUAAAAAUAUAUAUCAAAUUAUUGGAAGCAUAUUAGUUUUGGAUAAGGUUGCAACUUGGGUAAGUUGAUUGGAUUGAUAGUUAACUCGAGUCUAACCUGAAUUAAAAAAUAAUCAAAUUGAACUCAACUUAACUCAGCUUCUAACCCACAGUAUUCAACCCAACAUCAUUUCUUUAAGUUCAAAUUGGUCAUAUUAUAGAUAUAACAAAAUUUUAAGAUAGUAACAAAAUAAAAAUAAAAAUAAAUUUAUAUAGCUUUACUAAAAAUGAAAAAAUAUAUAUGACAUAAUAUAACUUAAUAUUUAAAAAAAAAAUGAGCUUGAGUUGAAAAAACCUAAUCCAAACCCAACCUGUAUAUUGAAAAUAAUUGUCCAAUCUUAUUCAUAUCUUGGGUGGAUUGAACCAAUCAGCCAAAGCUAAACCCCUAGUUUUGGCUAAAUUCAUUUUUUUUCCCUACAAAAUGAAAAAACUUAAAUAAAUUAUUUUAAUAUGAGUUUUUAUUAAAUAUGGUUAAAAUUCAUUUUAAAAAAAUUUAAAUUAUUAAAUUUUAUUUCUUUACUAUUUAACACAUAAUAGGCCUUAUUAUAUUAUAAAAAUAUAUUAAAAAAAGAGAUAUUUUCCUUACUUUCAAAAUAUUAAUAUUUUCAAAGGUUUGAUUUCUUAAUAAAUGCUAUUUAUAUUAUAAAUGUUUUUUAAAAGCAUGGUUAAACUAAGUAUGAUUAUGAUUACUAAAAAACACUUUUCGAUUACUGAAAAACACUUUCUUUUAUAGGUAAAUGAAGAGUAUGUUUGACCGUAAUUCUAAAAAAUAUUUUUAACACUUGAAUGAUAAAAUUUUUAAAAUAUUAAAAAUGUUAUAAAUACUUCUUAAAAUCACGGUAAAAUAGUUGAAAUGACAUUUGUAUUACUAAUGUCUUCCAUUUCCAUAACACAAGUUAUCACCAUUCAUCUUCUUGUUGUAAAAAUAUUCAUUAGGCACAAACUUCCCCCCCUUCGUUUCUCUUAUCCUUUCCUCGCAAUAUCUUCACCUCUCUUUUCACUUAUCCUUUCCCCUUAUGUUGUAGGUCCUUGAACAGAUCUUCAGAAUUGAUCGCCAUAUGCAUUUCCCAUCAACCUCAAUUACCAAACUAUUAACUUGACCAAUAUUUCAUAAUUCGUAGGAAUUAAUUCAAAUGGAUAGACACAAUCAUAGUCU